GAUGAACGCUGGCGGCGUGCUUAACACAUGCAAGUCGAACGGAAAGGCUCCUGCUUGCAGGGGUACUCGAGUGGCGAACGGGUGAGUAACACGUGGGUGAUCUGCCCUGCACUUCGGGAUAAGCCUGGGAAACUGGGCCUAAUACCGGAUAGGACGAUGGUUUGGAUGCCAUUGUGGAAAGUUUUUCGGUGUGGGAUGAGCUCGCGGCCUAUCAGCUUGUUGGUGGGGUAAUGGCCUACCAAGGCGUCGACGGGUAGCCGGCCUGAGAGGGUGUACGGCCACAUUGGGACUGAGAUACGGCCCAGACUCCUACGGGAGGCAGCAGUGGGGAAUAUUGCACAAUGGGCGCAAGCCUGAUGCAGCGACGCCGCGUGGGGGAUGACGGCCUUCGGGUUGUAAACUCCUUUCGCUAGGGACGAAGCGCAAGUGACGGUACCUGGAGAAGAAGCACCGGCUAACUACGUG
rnacentral:rRNA from 1 species